AUUUGAGCCACAUGUGUGUUUGAGACCAAAUGAAACACACAUUGGGAGGCAGAAGUGCUGCGUCUGCAGUUGCAUUCCUGGAAGCAGACUCACAGGCUGACAAAGAGGGGAUGACUGUCACGGCUGAAAUGAAACUCUACUGAAGAACACUCAGAUAAUGCAUCCUCUGAGGAAGGAAGGCUGCAUUAGUGCCCCACAAGCUUUGCACCGCCAUCUCCUGCAGGGACACUGGUUAUUUUUGGACUGAGGGCAGAUCCCGUUACGACUACGAGAAGACCCCUCAGACGGGAAAUCACCCAGCACGCCACCCAGCAGCUCUUGCAUUCUUGGCUCUCAGCCGCACCGACUGAACGCUGGUUGGUGAUUCAGCCCCAUAUGCAGACGAUGAUCAGAGAGGAAAGCCCAAAAGAACAAGAGAGCCAUCUUCUUUUCAACUCCGGAUGACCUUUUCCCCACUGAAAUCUCCGCACACACCCCUAUGUGCGACAAAUAUAUAUCACCACACCCAGCGAACUUGGGCACGGAGUAGUUUGCUGUACUUGUGCAAGAUAUGACGGGUAUUUUUCCAAGUAGAGAUUGUUAUAGAUGAUCAUACAUUUGGCCAAACAAACAGAAUUGAAGCCAUGAUGACAUAAUUUUGUACAUUCUGAAUUCAAAAUUUGUGAUUUUUGUGUACCCAAAAGAUCUUUAUUUGACUCAGUACAGCAGGAAAUAAAAAAUAAAUAAAUACCUGCAUGCUACAUGUUAAUACCCAGCUCAUCACUCUAUCCAAACUGUAUUUUUAAAUGUAUGAUUUGUGACACAUUUAUGUUUUUUUUUUAAUCUUACUUUAGUUGGUUGGUCUAUUUGUCUCACCGUAAAGUAACAGAUAGAAAUACAUACAUCAGUGUCCUGCAAAGCGAUUCAUGCUUGCAUCUAUUACUCUGUAAGCAUCAGUAAAGCUUAUUUUACAGUUUCUCAUAUUGAGGAAGGCUAAUGUUUGCACAAACUAUGGUUUAAUCCCACAAUGGUCUACUGAGGUGAAAGCAAGAUUAAAUCAAGCUUCUACAUGACUGAAAUAUUUCCUGGAUCAUUUCCGUACACCGGCAAGACACUGCAUAAUAGUCAUGUGUUGUGCUAUUUGUUUCAUAUGAACAUUCCUGGGGUUAACUGAAAAACCACACAGUUAUUAUGUGGGAAAUAUCAAAGGCUGUGCGGCCACCAGGGCUGAAGUGGAGAGCGUGGGAGGUUUGUGACAUACCCCUGAUUUCUCUGCAUCUGCCCACCGAAAACAUGCUUGUACGGUAUUAGUGUGCGUGUGAGUGCAGCUUGUGUGCAUGUCUGUGUAGCUAGGAGAGGGGAGCCAUGCUGGGUCUAAUGAGGCUGUUUGGCUGUUUGGACUUCCACCUAAUUUCAAUGAAGCAUCAUCAUACCCUCAGCCAAACACCUCCCAGGGGAAAUCCUCAGUAAGGCCAUAUGAGAUGUGUGUUAA